AUGAGAUACCUGGGCCUCCCGCUCUCGAUCUGGCAACUCAAGAAGAUGGACCUACAAUUUUUGGAGGACAAGGUUGCCAACAAACUGGUUACUUGGGAGGGCCAAAACAUUACUACCAUUGGCUGCACAACCCUUGUCAGGUCUGUGACCACCUCCCAGGUGAUAUACUUUAUCACACCGCCUGUCGUCCCUUCGGGCACGCUACACAAUGUCAACACGCUUGAGCGGGCAUUUUUAUGGCCCGGUUCGGACAAGACCACAAGGGCUAAGUGUAAGGUCAACUGGGAGAUGGUUUGCUGUCCGAUUCAGUAUGGAGGUCUUGGGGUGCUGAACACUAACAAAUUUGCUCGGGCCCUGAGAUUGCACUGUCCUUGGUUUGAAUGGAAGGAACCAAGGAAGAUGUGGGUGGGCACCGAAAACCCAUGCAACGAGGUCGACCUUGACUUCUUCUACGCCUCCACCACCAUCAUUAUGGGGAAUGGGGCUAGAACGCCAUUCUGGGACUCCCCAUGGUUGCUAGGGCGCAAACCCAAGGAGAUUGCACCACUCAUUUAUGAGGCAUCCUCGAGAAAAAACUGA
rnacentral:rRNA from 1 species